AAGCUGGAGCACAGAGUGUGCUGACAUAGGAAUAUGAAGCAUCACGGAACCAAAUUGAGCUGGUAUGGUGAGAUAGAAGAUCACGUGGGUGGAAUCUGAAGCAGAGUGGCAAUCAAGUCGCAUGAUGGAAAUUUGCAGCCCAGCUGGACAAACAGAGUUAUAGGCGCAUUGCACUUGGAAGAAAAUUAUGUGGUAGUUUACUCAUAUCGUGCAGUGUGUUCCGGACUUCCGAUUCAUGGAGAGUGGAGUGAGUUUCAUAAGGAUCGGAGUCUAGUUGUUUGUCUGGUUCGAGGAUGAAGGGUUGGGACAGUUAGUUUCAGGAUGUUGCAGAGGAGCACUUGGAUCUGUUUGGGCGAUGCUUGUGCCACUUGGAUUUGUUCGGGUGAUGCUUGGUCUGGUAUGAUUCCUGCUGUAGUCUUCACUUCACCUAUUAACCCAUUGAACCAUUGACCAAUUCAUGUGAAAGCGUUCUCAACAGUUCAAUGGAGGUAAAAUAGUUUACUCCUUAUACCGUAAUGUGCUAAUGCUUUUCUGUUCACGCAAAUAUAUGUUAUGCUGGGCAAAACCUAUCAACGUCGGCAUCAGCAAGGUGGCUGAUCCCCUGCGCCCAAGACUUAGUUCCAGGAACAUUGGUUAGUUGGUUAGAGUUUGAGGCAAGUAAGAUUUGAUAGAGUUUGAGUUAGAGUCAAAUUUGAUAGGGUUUGAGUUAGAGUCGGAGUUUGUUACCUCGAUUGUAAAGGAUAAGUCCGGUCAAGUUAAUGAAACAGGUAGCCUGGGAUUUGUGUCAGAUAGACACCGUAGGGCGCCCAGCGUCGUUUACAUCGUUUCCUCGCGCCC
rnacentral:lncRNA from 1 species